rnacentral:rRNA from 1 species
UGCCGGUGACAAACCGGAGGAAGGUGGGGAUGACGUCAAGUCAUCAUGGCCCUUAUGGGCAGGGCUACACACGUGCUACAAUGGACGGCACAGAGGGUCGCUAACCCGCGAGGGGGAGCCAAUCCCACAAAACCGUUCGUAGUCCGGAUCGGAGUCUGCAACUCGACUCCGUGAAGUCGGAAUCGCUAGUAAUCGCAGAUCAGAACGCUGCGGUGAAUACGUUCCCGGGCCUUGUACACACCGCCCGUCAUACCAUGGGAGUGGGCUGUACCAGAAGUGGGUUGCUUAACCUUCGGGAGGGCGCUCACCACGGUGUGGUUCAUGACUGGGGUAAAGUCGUAACAAGGUAGCCGUAGGGGAACCUGCGGCUGGAUCACCUCCUUA